ACUUUAACCCACUGAGCCACCCAGGCACCCCUGUCCCCUACAAAUCUUUUGUGUACUAUGGGCCACCUCCUGGGUUUUAGGUUCUUACCUCUUGACCUGAGAUUGUUCAGUGGUACCCGUUGAGAUUCCUGCCUUGGGAAAGCUUCACCUCCCCUCUGCUACUAAUUCUGUAUGCUAGAGCAUAGACUUUUUUUUUUUUUUUUCUAAAUAAACUCUAUGCCCAAUAUGGGACUCAAACUCAUGACCCUCAGAUCAAGAGUCACAUGCUGUACUGAUUGAACCAGUCAGGCACCCCUACUCUUGUUGGUUUGUUUUUAAGUUUUGUAGACCUGGGGACCUUGGACUGGUACUAGGCCACAAAGAUAUAUUCAUUCGUGUUACUCUUUUCACAAGACUUACUCUCUUCACCUAGGAUGGUCGGCCAGGAUAUAUAUGAUUUCUACUCAUCCUCAUCAUGCUGCCUAGAAUAUAAUCCCCCUGGAACAAUCUUUUCUUCUGAGAUGAAGAGACUUUGUCAAAGAUGCCAGUCCUGGAAUGCAUAUAUAGUUAUCCUACAAUAACCCUGAGAGAGAGGAACUAUAAUUGUCCCCAUUGUACAGAUGAAGAAAGUAAGGCGUAGAGGGAUUAAAUAAUUUGCCAUGAUCACAAAGUAAGUGACUGAAAAGAAAUUGGACCCAAGGUUUGCCUAAUUCUUGAUCACUCCUCUUAUAACAAGAAAAUUUUUUUGAGGGGCGGGAGAGAUAUUUGUUUUUAGCAUGGUGUCUAGAAAUUGAUAUAAUAUGCUAGGUUUGAUCUGAACACUGUGAUUAUUAAAUCCUUUGAUUUGGACACAGUACAAUCUAUUAAUGUCCCUAAGACUUCAUUUGAUUUUUUUACCUGUUAUAUGACUCUUUUUUUUUUUUUUUAAGAUUUUAUUUAUUUAUUUAUUUGACAGAGAUAGAGACAGCCAGAGAGAGAGGGAACACAAGCAGGGGGAGUGGGAGAGGAAGAAGCAGGCUCAUAGCGGAGGAGCCUGACGUGGGGCUCGAUCCUGAAACGCCGGGAUCACGCCCUGAGCCGAAGGCAGACGCUUAACCGCUGUGCCACCCAGGCGCCCCUGUUAUAUGACUCUUUAGGAGUUUCAAAAAAUCCUUUUGCUCUUAUUUUAUUUUUUCACCUUGACUCCCUACUUGCCCCUCCUCCUUUGUCACCCCAAUAGCUCUCACCCCUCCAUAACCAUUUUAUCAACCUAGUUAACAUUUCUCUCCAUGCUCCUAUACUCAUAUAGACACAUACAAAUGCACGCAUAUUCAGUAUAGAUUUUCUUUGUAAUUUAAGAAGUGACUACAUUUUUGCCUCUCACUUUUACUUAAAACAAUUUUUUGUAUAAAAUCUCUUUA
rnacentral:lncRNA from 1 species